UUUUUUUUUUUUUUUUUUUUUGAUGAUAUACUAAUUUAUAGUCUCUCUUGGCAGGAACAUUUGCAUCACUUACGGGUAGUUUUGAAAUUAUUGCAGGAUAAUCAAUUUGUGGCUAAUCAAAAGAAGAGCACUUUCGGCAAAUAACAUAUUGACUAUUUGGGCAUCUCAUUUCAUUCCAAGGAGUUGCCAUGGAUCCCAAUAAAAUAUCUAGUGUGUUGAAUUGGCCAAUUUCAAAGUCGAUCAAAGGUGUACGGGGGUUUUUGGGUUUGAUGGGGUAUUACCGUCGUUUUGUCAAGGACUAUGGGAAAAUUGCUCAGCCUCUCAUGUAAUUACCUAAAAAAGACCAGCUGAAGGACUUUCAGUGGAAUUCUAGUGCCCAACAAGCCUUUGAGAGCUUGAAGACGGCAAUGACGACCUCACCUAUGUUGGCUAUGCCUGACUUUAAUCAACCAUUUGUGUUGUAGUGUGAUGCUUCAGGUCGGGGAUUAGGGGCAGUAUUAAUCCAAGAUCGUCGGCCAAUUGCUUAUUUUAGCAAAGCAUUGUC
rnacentral:misc_RNA from 1 species